GUUCCUGUGGCCUAAUGGGUAAGGCGUUGGAUUGUAAAUCUACAUACUGUGUCUUCGAAUUCCACCAGGAACA